UGCCAGCCGCCGCGGUAACACGGGGGGCGCAAGCGUUAUUCGGAAUUAUUGGGCGUAAAGCGGACGCAGGCGGCUCGGAUAGUCGGAUGUGAAAGCCCAGGGCUCAACCCUGGAACUGCAUUCGAAACUGCCGACCUUGAAUACGGGAGAGGGAAGCGGAAUUCCUGGUGUAGAGGUGAAAUUCGUAGAUAUCAGGAGGAACACCGGUGGCGAAAGCGGCUUCCUGGCCCGAUAUUGACGCUCAUGUCCGAAAGCGUGGGUAGCAAACAGGAUUAGAUA
rnacentral:rRNA from 1 species